UACGUAGGGUGCGAGCGUUAAUCGGAAUUACUGGGCGUAAAGCGUGCGCAGGCGGUUCGUUGUGUCGGUGGUGAAAUCCCCGGGCUUAACCUGGGAAUGGCCAUGGAAACUGGCGAACUGGAGUGCGGCAGAGGGGGGUGGAAUUCCGCGUGUAGCAGUGAAAUACGUAGAGAUGCGGAGGAACACCGAUGGCGAAGGCAGCCCCCUGGGCUAGCACUGACGCUCAGGCACGAAAGCGUGGGGAGCAAACAGG
rnacentral:rRNA from 1 species